AGGUGGGAGGGACCACAGCAUCAGGUACCCAGGAAGACAGGGGAAACAAAGACCUUGUUUUCCUGCCAUCGGCCAUAGAAUAGUGGAAAAUGGGGGUGGGGGUGGCGUGGAGGGAUAGAAAUGGAGUCUGAGUGGGUCCAAGGUCAUUCCACAAACAAGUUGAGUUAACAUUGCUGAGCCCGACUAUGCAGCCUCCACACUAACUGUCUGAAGAGCUGUCAUUUAGAAAGCCACUCAAUCCUGGUGGGAAGGAUGCCAAAGGGUUCCAGGACCCAGUUUUCCCAGCGGGACUCAACCUGUCAAUCCACCUUCUAACAGGAGUGUCCCAAAGCCCCCCAGCCCUCAAGGUCUGACUACAUCACCCUUUAUGCACCUCUAGGUGGGCCCAGCCAUGCCCCCAGAUCUAGGGGUCAAAAGGCUCCUUUGGGGUUGACAAAAUGCCACCUGGGUUCUGUAAUGCCAAGAGACUUCCAGAGCGGGGCUCAGCGGGGACUCAAGGCUGGGCUUUCAUCAGAGGACGGAACACCUCCCCACACUCUGGUUCCACUAGGUGAUGCCUGGUGUUUUUUUUGUUUUUUUUUUUUUUUUUUUUUUUUUUUUUAAUAUCUGACUCAAAGAGGAAAACACAGUCUCCAUUUAGAAACAGAGGCGCUGGCAGGCUUUCCCCAGUGUGCAAGCCCCACCGCACUGAGUUUCUGGUAAUUUACCUGCGGCCUGAAUUAUUUAGAUGGAUUGAGCUCACGUGGACUUCAGGUGUCCCAAUUACCUGGGUGAUUUGCAUGUUUACGAGUGAGGGGGUUUGAGCGCUAGCUCAAAGCAGAUUCCAAAUUCAGACUUUGGAAUGGAAGCCCUUGAGGUCCUGGCCCCCGCCCCUUUCUACCCCACCUGCAAGAGGAGAGUCACAAAGAGCAACCCUGCAGUGAGCAGGCCAGGAACCCAUCUCCUAACCAGAGCAGGAGGCGUCACCGGGGCUUGGCCAACCUCGGUUUCUCCUUCUAGUCAUGCCGGCAAAGCAAAGUUCCUACUGGGCUUCAUGCAGCACCUGCAAAUUCAUGAUGACCUUUUCAGAGCUGGACCAAUUACACUCAAAUAAAAUGGCUUAAGCACCGGAGAGACGCAUGUUUAAAUUGUUGUGGUCGAGUGAGUAAUCGCCAGCCUUGGGAACAAUCUGACAGAGAGAGCCUCAGAUGGGCUGCAGCUGUUCCUGACCCGAUGACUUCUGGCUUCAUGGAAGGAGUUGUUUAUUGCCCAAGAGUUAUGAACAUAUCCUAGGCGGCUGGGAGAUGCUUUAAACAUCGUGCACAGUGUGAACGGCCACCCCGAGGAUCUGUUGAUAAUUCUGAGCCAAGG